GACGAACGCUGGCGGCGUGCCUAAUACAUGCAAGUAGGACGCAGUUGCGAACGGGUGAGUAACGCGUAGGUAACUACCUAUUAGAGGGGGAUAACUAUUGGAAACGAUAGCUAAUACCGCAUACUAGUAGAUGGACCUGCGUUGUAUUAGCUAGUAGGUAGGGUAAUGGCCUACCUAGGCAACGAAACAUAGCCGACCUGGGAGGGUGGUCGGGCACAAUGGGAAUGGGACACGGCCCAGACUCCUACGGGAGGCAGCCGGAGGGGAUCUUCGGCAAAUGGGGGAAACCUGAACGAGCAAAGCCGCGUGAGGGGAGAAGGGUUUCGGAUCGGAAAGCUCUGUUGUUAAGGAAGCGGUACUUAACCAGAAAGGGACGGCUAACUACGUGCCAGCAGCCGCGGUAAUUC
rnacentral:rRNA from 1 species